GACGAACGCUGGCGGCGUGCUUAACACAUGCAAGUCGAACGGAAAGGCCCUGCUUUUGUGGGGUGCUCGAGUGGCGAACGGGUGAGUAACACGUGAGUAACCUGCCCUUGACUUUGGGAUAACUUCAGGAAACUGGGGCUAAUACCGGAUAGGAGCUCCUGCUGCAUGGUGGGGGUUGGAAAGUUUCGGCGGUUGGGGAUGGACUCGCGGCUUAUCAGCUUGUUUGUGGGGUAGUGGCUUACCAAGGCUUUGACGGGUAGCCGGCCUGAGAGGGUGACCGGCCUCAUUGGGACUGAGAUACGGCCCAGACUCCUACGGGAGGCAGCAGUGGGGAAUAUUACGCAAUGAGCGGAAGCCUGAUGCAGAAACGCCGCGUGCGGGAUGACGGCCUUCGGGUUGUGAACCGCUUUGGCCUGUGGCGAAGCGUGAGUGACGGUAAUGGGUAAAGAAGCACCGGCUAACUACGUG
rnacentral:rRNA from 1 species